GGAGAUGUGCCAGAGUGGUCGAAUGGGUCGCACUCGAAAUGCGAAGUAUGGGCAACUGUACCAGGGGUUCGAAUCCCUUCAUCUCCG
rnacentral:tRNA from 2 species